GACGAACGCUGGCGGCGUGCUUAACACAUGCCAGUCGAACGGAAAGGCCCUGCUUUUGUGGGGUGCUCGAGUGGCGAACGGGUGAGUAACACGUGAGUAACCUGCCCUUGACUUUGGGAUAACUUCAGGAAACUGGGGCUAAUACCGGAUAGGAGCUCCUGCUGCAUGGUGGGGGUUGGAAAGUUUCGGCGGUUGGGGAUGGACUCGCGGCUUAUCAGCUUGUUGGUGGGGUAGUGGCUUACCAAGGCUUUGACGGGUAGCCGGCCUGAGAGGGUGAUCGGCCACAUUGGGACUGAGAUACGGCCCAGACUCCUAUGGGAGGCAGCAGUGGGGAAUAUUGCACAAUGGGCGGAAGCCUGAUGCAGCAACGCCGCGUGCGGGAUGACGGCCUUCGGGUUGUAAACCGCUUUCGCCUGUGACGAAGCGUGAGUGACGGUAAUGGGUAAAGAAGCACCGGCUAACUACGCG
rnacentral:rRNA from 1 species